rnacentral:rRNA from 1 species
CCCUUAGAUGUUCUGGGCCGCACGCGCGCUACACUGAGUGUCUGAGAUACGAGUCUGCCUGGUCCGGCAAGGUCUAGGUAAUCGCUAAAAGACACAUCAUGCUUGGGAUAGAUUAUUGCAAAUAUUAAUCUUGAACGAGGAAUUCCUAGUAAACGCAGAUCAUCAAUCUGCAUUGAUUACGUCCCUGCCCUUUGUACACACCGCCCGUCGCACCUACCGAUUGGAUGGUCCGGUGAAGCCUCGGGAUUGUGGUUCUUGCCGCUUUAUUGUGGCGUGACCGCGAGAACUUGUCUAAACCUUAUCAUCUAGAGGAAGGUGAAGUCGUAACA